CAAUACGUCAGCGGCAGACGGGUGAGUAACGCGUGGGAACAUACCUUUUGGUUCGGAACAACACAGGGAAACUUGUGCUAAUACCGGAUAAGCCCUUACGGGGAAAGAUUUAUCGCCGAAAGAUUGGCCCGCGUCUGAUUAGCUAGUUGGUGAGGUAAUGGCUCACCAAGGCGACGAUCAGUAGCUGGUCUGAGAGGAUGAUCAGCCACAUUGGGACUGAGACACGGCCCAAACUCCUACGGGAGGCAGCAGUGGGGAAUAUUGGACAAUGGGGGCAACCCUGAUCCAGCCAUGCCGCGUGAGUGAUGAAGGCCCUAGGGUUGUAAAGCUCUUUUGUGCGGGAAGAUAAUGACGGUACCGCAAGAAUAAGCCCCGGCUAACUUCGUGCCAGCAGCCGCGGUAAUACGAAGGGGGCUAGCGUUGCUCGGAAUCACUGGGCGUAAAGGGUGCGUAGGCGGGUCUUUAAGUCAGGGGUGAAAUCCUGGAGCUCAACUCCAGAACUGCCUUUGAUACUGAA
rnacentral:rRNA from 1 species